GCAAAAACCGCUCACCCAACAAAGAAAUUUACUGUCACAUGACUUGUGCCACAGACACGAAUAAUAUCCAGGUGGUAUUCGACGCCGUCACCGACAUCAUCAUUGCCAACAAUCUCCGGGGCUGUGGCUUGUACUGACCUCUUGUCCUGUAUAGCAACCUAUUUGGUAAUGAUUCCAGCACUCACAGAACAGCUUGUGUACACACACACACACACACACACACACACACACACACACACCACUAACCAGUGCAAGUUGGUACAUAAAACUUUAAAAAGGCAUACCAUAACCUUAUCUAUACACACGUAUAUAUUAGAAAAAAUGUUUUUAGUUAAUAUUUAAAAGAGCUGCGGACAGAACUGACCACCAUCCCUAGCUCAUCAGUUUCCCUGGGACAGCACAUGAGCAUGCACACAUGUGCGUGCACACACUCACACAGGGCAUGGUGGGAACCUGGGUUAGCACUCUUUCCUCUAGACAGCCCCAGGGCAUGAGCACGGCAGGCAGGGGGAGACCUGGUUCUGUCCGUCCCCCUCUGCAUCCUACCAUGAGGCAGCCUGCUCAGUUCUGCCUUGCUCCUCCCCAAAUUUCAAAAACAUUUAAGAAAUGGCCAACACUAAACAUCCCCCUAUCAUAGCCACAACAGAAAACUCUAGGGACCCUUCUAUUUUGGGUGGUGGUGGUGAUUUAUUUCAAGAAUCUAGAAGAAUCAUUGCUCCGAUCAAUCCACUGUCUCCUGAGUUUUCUUUAUUCAUGGGAACAGAGGAAAAUUUAGAGAUGGGAGACCUGGUCUGCUUUCUCACGUAAUUGAGGGGAGGGAGUGCACGAGCCAUUGCCCAAACUCAACUACAGAGUUAGAGCCAGAUUUCCUCCAAGAGGGCCCUGGACGAGGUGUGAGUGGUCUGGGGAGGGCUGGACAGGCCAGAAGCAAGGUACAAGACAGGGAUGGGCUUCCCUACUAAGGACUCCCCACUGUGCCCCACCACCUGCGCUAGUUAAACGUUCUAGGUUGGUUUGUUGGUUGGUUGGUUUGUAAAGUCAAAGAAAAUGGUCAGACUGGCACCUAUCUCUCUCUCUACAGACUGCUUCAUGGACUCUUUGCUGUUGAUGUUGAUCUCCUGGUAGCAUGACCUUUGGCCUUUGUAAGACACACAGCCUUUCUGUACCAAGCCCCUGUCUAACCUACGACCCCAGAGUGACUGACGGCUGUGUAUUUCUGUAGAAUGCUGUAGAAUACGGUUUUAGUUGAGUCUUUACAUUUAGAACUUGAAAGGAUUUAAAAAAAAAAAAACAUUUCUCAUGUGCUUUGUAGCUUUAAAAAGGAAAACUCACCAUUUCAUCCAUAUUUCCUUUUAUUUUGAAGUUAAAAAAAAAAAACAUACACGUCAGUAACCACACCCUCCCCAUCCCAGCUCAAAUUGGGGCUGGCACACAGAGGCAGUGCUGGGCCCAGUACCUCCCAGGGCUUCUGUGCAGCCCAGGGCUGCUGAGAACUUGCCAGGCUAGGCUUUCUAGAAGGCCACUGGCCACUGUAACCACCCUCUCCCACGCCUGUCGGCUGCCCAGACACCUCAUACACCACCAGGCAGCAGCGGCAGCCCUACCCAGCCACCCAACUCCGAACACACUCACUCAAAGUUUGCAGUUUGCGUAGAAAAGCACAGCUCUGGCGGGGGUAGCUGCCACAGACAAUGCUCAUCAAUAGAAACCCGCCCCAUAGAUGCACCUUGCCCCGCCCCUUCCUACGCUCCCUUUGUGUUGUUCUUUUUUGGUUUUUCUUCUCGUCCUAAAGAGUACUUCCCAUGCAUACCUGACCAGCUCUGCCAGUGUCUGGGGAACGGGGGUUGUGUGGUUUUGUUUUUUGUUUUUCCUUUAACAUCACAGCCUCUGGCCCUGGGCAGAAGCCCUCCCUUGUGUGUGGCCCCCUCUCCACCUCUCCUCUCUGUUCCAGUGACCUAUGUUCCCUCGCUCUCAUGUUGGGAUGUUUGUGCUGCAGAUAAAAAGAACAAAAAAAAUAAAUAAAUAAAAGUUUUUAAAUACCACAAGAUGGAAGAAAAACAAAAAAAAUUAAAAGAUGGAAUGUAGUGUUUACAUUAAAGCCAGUUUUCAUGAUCAGUCCUACGUCAUUUCUACUUGCCUAGUAUCUAACCCCAGACCUGUUCACGGUUUCACUUUUAAGACAAUAUUGGCUGAAGACCAGUCACAGCCAUUUCAAUAAUGGAGGCAAAAAGACAAAACACAAAAAAAUUAAAAAUACAGGAAAAAAAACUUGAAAAAAAGGAAAAACGUUAAAAAAAAAAUAAAAUAAAAAGCCCACGGGUCUUUGUAAGCCUUUCUAUUCCCAACGGUGAGGUUUCUGUGACACCUGACACUGCCAGCCUACUUCUCUAACGGAUUCAUGUGUAGCUCAAUAAAGAGAAUGUUUGUCUGUA
rnacentral:lncRNA from 1 species